rnacentral:rRNA from 1 species
GACGAGCGCUGGCGGCGUGCCUAAUACAUGCAAGUAGAACGCUGAAGGAGGAGCUUGCUCUUCUGGAUGAGUUGCGAACGGGUGAGUAACGCGUAGGUAACCUGCCUGGUAGCGGGGGAUAACUAUUGGAAACGAUAGCUAAUACCGCAUAACAGUAGAUGUUGCAUGACAUUUGCUUAAAAGGUGCAAUUGCAUCACUACCAGAUGGACCUGCGUUGUAUUAGCUAGUUGGUGGGGUAACGGCUCACCAAGGCGACGAUACAUAGCCGACCUGAGAGGGUGAUCGGCCACACUGGGACUGAGACACGGCCCAGACUCCUACGGGAGGCAGCAGUAGGGAAUCUUCGGCAAUGGACGGAAGUCUGACCGAGCAACGCCGCGUGAGUGAAGAAGGUUUUCGGAUCGUAAAGCUCUGUUGUAAGUGAAGAACGAGUGUGAGAGUGGAAAGUUCACACUGUGACGGUAUCUUACCAGAAAGGGACGGCUAACUACGUG